rnacentral:rRNA from 1 species
UGCUAAUACCGGAUAACAACAGAUGAUGCCUAUCAACUGUUUAAAAGAUGGUUCUGCUAUCACUCUUGGAUGGACCUGCGGUGCAUUAGCUAGUUGGUAGGGUAACGGCCUACCAAGGCGAUGAUGCAUAGCCGAGUUGAGAGACUGAUCGGCCACAUUGGGACUGAGACACGGCCCAAACUCCUACGGGAGGCAGCAGGG